UGCAGAGCUGAGCUAGCUGGGAAAUGCCUAUUGCAGGUCAGACAUCUCGGGUGGGGUUGGACAUGCCCCUCCAGGAGACGAGUCAAGCCCUCAUCCUGGUGCUGCACUGCUGAGGAUCCCUGGUGAUCAAGCGGCAGUGUCAGGGGCUGAGGCUGGGGCAGGCUGCUCUCUCUGUCUCCGCCAGAGGCACUGUUGUGUCACAACUACCAGAGCAGUCCCUCUGAAGCCCCAAAGCCAGACCCAGAGGCCUGCCUGGGAGUGGGACUGAGAGCAGUGGCUCUGAGCAGAAGAUGGAGAUGGUCAAGGCCCCACAUCGAGGGUUGCAAUCUUGUCAUCCAUAACUCUUAUAAGAAUGAGCCCUGGCCUGGAAGAGAGGCCAAAUGUCUAAUCAGCAGGCCUGGAACACCGCCGGUGCCAAGAAAGAGCCAAGCAGCCACUCCCUGGGGCUGGCUGCAGAUGAGGCCCUUGUGGUUUCCCCACUCACUGACUACGGGGAGGAGGGUGUGCAAGGACUUUGUCUGGGAAGAAUCUUUGCAUCUGUAGCUCAACAGGCUUCUCUCUCCAGGCCCCUGGGUUUCAAAAGACUGUGACUUCCACCUUGGUUUGCUCGGUCUGAUGAAGGAACUUUGAGCUGUGAGCUGCACUGUGAACUUUGCUGUGAGCUGCCCUGUGAUGGGAGAGGAGGCCUCCGCCUCACAGCCCUGGAGGACCUCAAUGCUGCCAACGUGUGACCAGAUGCAGAUCCUUCUCCAGUCAAGCCUGGACAUGACAUGACAGCAGCCCUGGGGACCUUGAUGCUGUGGCCUGUGCAAGACCCUGAGCCAGCCGCACCCAGAUCCCUCACCCACAGAAACUGCCAGAUUUUAAGUCUUCUGCUUGUAAGCCACUCUUUUUGCCAUAGUUUGUGUGCAGCAAUAGAUAACUGCUCUAGAGUU
rnacentral:lncRNA from 1 species